AAAACUUCCUCCAGCUGUCAGAUGGAUUUCUUCAUUCAUUAGGCUUAUUCUAUUAGGAUGCUUUUCCUUUUGCAGUACUGGGCAUCAGUCUCCAGGCCUGGCACGUACUCAGUGCCUAUGCUACCACCGAGCCACACCUCCUGCCUGAAAGAGAACCUUUUGCCUCUUGUUAAUCACAACCACAGCCACAGUAAGCCACAAGUCCUUCAACCGAGAGCGCUGAUCUACCAAGCCUGGUGGAGAGAGUAAUUGAUUUUUUAGGGUUGUAGAAUGUUAGACCCAUGUGAGCUCACAAAGGCAGCAUAGUGCCCAGCCUCAUCUCCAGUGUAAAGCAAGGCAGUGACCUGACCAAGGUCACUGGGUUCCUAAAGGGCUGGAAGGACAGGCAGUGCCAGAAAGCUGUGUGAUAGACCAAUUAACUACUGUGUCAGAAGCAAAUGCCUGGGCAAACUUCUGAGCUCUUGGGCAAUUUGCCUAACAUCCUCAAGGCUCAUUUUUUUCUGGUCUGUGGAGUGGGACCAAUACCUAUUGUCUAAGAUUUCUGAGUGUCUUAGUUAGGGUGUUAUGCUGUGAACAGACACCAUGACCAAGGCAACUCUUAUAAAGGACAACAUUUAAUUGGGACUGGCUUACAGGUUCAGAGGUUCAGUCCAUUAUCAUCAAGGGAACAUGGCAGUGUCCAGGCAGCAGGGUACUAGAGGAGCUGAGAGCUCCACCUCUUGUUCCAAAGGCAUUUGAUCAAUAGAUGGCAGCGAGGGAGCUGCUUUGCUACAUAUGAAACCCUGACCCAGAAGCAUGUCCUCUAUGAAUGGUUUAGUGCCAGGUUCUACCUGAACCUGCUGCAUUCAGCGUGAGAGGUGAGAGGGAGGCCCCCUUUGCAGCAGCACCCUGUUUCUCAGGACGAAUGGCUCUCCACACUGGACCCUGGUCCUGACACCCGGUAGGGAGACCCACCAGGUGGGGAUGGACGGGAACCCGUCUAUCCAUGACCAACCGAGGCUCCUUCAGCGCUGUGGUAUUGUUCCACCUGGGUGGGAUUCUGACUUAGAGGCGUUCAGUCAUAAUCCCACAGGUGGUAGCUUCCUCCCAUUGGCUCCUCAGCCAAGCACAUACACCAAAUGCCCACGCCCACGGUGACACACUUCCUCCAACAAGGCCACACCUCCAAACAGUGCCACUCCCUGGGCCAAGUGUAUUCAAACCACCACACUGGGGUUGUACUCUAUGGAGAAAUGGUCCUUCAAGCUAUCUUCCCAGCCCAGCCUGAGCAUUUUGGUGGUCAUCCAGAGAUACACAAGGUUGGCUUUAGUUAAUUUUAAGGUCAUGUGUGAUUGCCAAGUUGACCCAUUGAGAGUCGAAGCAGCAACCCAGGCACACCUGGCUCAAGGACAAGCCACACAGACACAGUCUGUAUGAAGAUGGAGCAUGCAGAUCAGAGUGAGAGCCCCUCAGGAUCUUCCUGGGAAAGAGAAACCAAAGGCCGUUGGAGCUUCUUCUUUAAAUGAACUAAGUUAUAAGAAAGUACAGACACACCCCCUCCAAAACAAAACUUCCAAGACUGUAUUUUCCUGAAUGAACAUCAAAACUCAACAGGUAAAUAAAGGAUGUGGAUUCCUUCUUUUCCUUGUCUUCAUU